rnacentral:rRNA from 1 species
AUUGAACGCUGGCGGCAGGCUUAACACAUGCAAGUCGAGCGGGGAAGAGUAGCUUGCUACUUUACCUAGCGGCGGACGGGUGAGUAAUGCUUAGGAAUCUGCCUAUUAGUGGGGGACAACAUCUCGAAAGGGAUGCUAAUACCGCAUACGUCCUACGGGAGAAAGCAGGGGACCUCCGGGCCAUGCGCUAAUAGAUGAGCCUAAGUCGGAUUAGCUAGUUGGUGGGGUAAAGGCCUACCAAGGCGACGAUCUGUAGCGGGACUGAGAGGAUGAUCCGCCACACUGGGACUGAGACACGGCCCAGACUCCUACGGGAGGCAGCAGUGGGGAAUAUUGGACAAUGGGGGGAACCCUGAUCCAGCCAUGCCGCGUGUGUGAAGAAGGCCUUUUGGUUGUAAAGCACUUUAAGCGAGGAGGAGGCUACCGAGAUUAAUACUCUUGGAUAGUGGACGUUACUCGCAGAAUAAGCACCGGCUAACUCUGUGCCAGCCGCCGCAGUAA